AGAGAAAUUUACACAUUUCAUUACUGAAAAUAAGUUUAGAUAUCUAAAACAUUCAUUUAAAGUGAAAUUAUAGCUAAUGGAAUAAAAUAAAAAUAAUGAAUAAAAUAUUCUAAUUUUUCAUAAAACAAUUUUUAUAGAACGCUACGUAAAUAAUUUUUACAACGUAAAAGCAAAAUAAAUUCCUACAUACAGUAGAACACGCAGCCAGGUAUUCAAAACAUUUAACAAUGACAUGUGGGCCCCCGAAUGACUAAAAGUAAUGAAGGUUGUGAACCUACAGUUUUUGAGGAUGCAAGUCCAACUGUAGCCCUCAACAAAAUAAGCUAUCUACCUACUAUCCUGAGCUUGAAAUGGGUGGAAAGAAGGGUGGUGAGAUUAUAUAAUCCCAGUGAGUAAACAAAUAUCAUCUAAAACAUCUAAAGCUAAGUAAAUGGAGACAGAUAAAAUAGAUUAGCAUUUCACCCAAAUAAAUAACGAAGCUUACGAUUUCCUGAAAAGCUUGGCUCGUGCCAAAAUCAUUCUCAUACUCGGUUGUCAAGGAUACCUUGGCCUGACGCUAUCCCAACCGAAUCCGCCAAGGCUGUUAAAAAGUCAUGUACGCAUAAAUCAUGUUUUUACUUUGAAAACGUAGUCGUUCCUUGGCGUUGGCCGAGUUCACCCUCACGUGGUGGUUCAGCGUGAAGUGAACUCUAAAGUUUUACCUCAGGAGUUACCAUACGCGCCUCCUCAACCGAGGUAAGAAUAUGCCCAGAUUUCGUGCCUCUCAAAAAGGCUGGUCCACAUAACCCGCCACUGUAGUGACCAAUCUAUAACCCACCAAUUCAAUAAAAAUUCAACAGCAUAACAUGACAAUUUUUAUCAUUAUCCAACGUAUCAAGGCAAACAACAGUUUAUACAUUUUCAACACAAAUACCCAUCCAGCCAUUCAUGCCCACGUUGUCAUAAGCCAUUCAAUUCAAAACAUAAUUUACAAUACAGCAAGUAGUCUCCAAUUACUCCAUUUUCAAAACCAUUAUUCAAUUUUAAGACAAUUUAUAAAAUCAUUUCAUUUAAUCACAUUUUCCAUAAAAUUACAAAAUCGGAUAAAAACAUACUUUAGAUAAUUAAGACGAUAAUAAGGUUACUCACUGUAAUGGGAAUAGAAUUCGGGAUACUCUGAUUCUUGAUCCUCGGAUACUACCUCUUUACUCUUGCCAGAAUGCUCACCACCUAGACACAAUGCACAAUAAGCAAUUUGCUACAUUUGUGCUAAACCGUUGUAAAACCAAUUCAAGCUCUAUACUAAUGCAUGAAAUGAGAUGUGAAAUACUCGGGUAACUAUCUAAAUACGUUGUUCAAUAUAAAUUCAAUUAUGUACCUAAAUAAAAUGGUAUUGGCCUAAUUCCAUCUAUCACCCGAUUAAUUGGCCAAUACGUCUAAUUCAACUCCAAACAAUUCCAUUUCUCUCCCAACACUCCAAAUCAUUAAACACAAUUUAAAUAACUUGAAAUAUGGUAAAAUCAUCCUCACAUUUUCUCUUUGAAAAAUUCGGCCAUGGAGGUUCUUGAGGGGUAUACGGUUUUUCAUGCUAAACAUUACCAUUUUCGGUUUCCACCACCAUAAUUCAUUAAUGUAAAGCCCGACCUUAUAAAAUACUAUUCAUGACUUACAUGUGAUGAUAGCAUGAUUGCAUGCUAGGAGAGUCCCGAAAAAUUUACAAAAGUCGGUAUUGUACCUAGAGGUACAACAAAG
rnacentral:lncRNA from 1 species